rnacentral:tRNA from 1 species
GUCUCGGUAGCUCAGAGGACAGAGCAUCGGCUUUCUAAUCCGUUGGUCGCCGGUUCGAAUCCGGCUCGGGACA